CCUUUGAAAGUAAUCCAAUUUAUUUUUUUGACCAAAUCUAGGCUACCACAUCACUUUGAGGAAUGACUUAUAGAAACUAAUGCAUCCAGGUACUGAGAUGAAGGAUACCAUUUACGAAUUAACAAGCAUAAUCCAUGUACUGUACAAGAGGUGACUACAAAGAAAUAUUUGUCAGUUAAAAUAUCUAUUGGAGUCCUAGAUAGCACUGGAAGGUCCACAAAUUUCUGGAGUUCGCACCAGGAGCCAGCCAGGAACCUGGGGAGAUGGCACUAGCGCUGUGCAACCUUGGCGUUGAAUGGUUGUCAGUGUGGUGCGGCGAUCAGUUGAUCUGCGCAUAUGGCAGAGCUAUGAGAGAAGUUUUAAUGAUUUCAUGAUCAG